rnacentral:rRNA from 1 species
GGGUUGUGAGGUUAAGCGACUAAGCGUACACGGUGGAUGCCCUGGCAGUCAGAGGCGAUGAAGGACGUGCUAAUCUGCGAAAAGCGUCGGUAAGGUGAUAUGAACCGUUACAGCCGGCGAUGUCCGAAUGGGGAAACCCAGUGCAAUUCGUUGCACUAUCGUUAACUGAAUACAUAGGUUAACGAGGCGAACCGGGGGAACUGAAACAUCUAAGUACCCCGAGGAAAAGAAAUCAACCGAGAUUCCCCCAGUAGCGGCGAGCGAACGGGGAGCAGCCCAGAGUCUGAAUCAGUUUGUGUGUUAGUGGAACGGUCUGGAAAGUCCGACGGUACAGGGUGAUAGUCCCGUACACCAAAAUGCACAGGCUGUGAACUCGAAGAGUAGGGCGGGACACGUGGUAUCCUGUCUGAAUAUGGGGGGACCAUCCUCCAAGGCUAAAUACUCCUGACUGACCGAUAGUGAACCAGUACCGUGAGGGAAAGGCGAAAAGAACCCCGGCGAGGGGAGUGAAAAAGAACCUGAAACCGUGUACGUACAAGCAGUGGGAGCACCUUUAUGGUGUGACUGCGUACCUUUUGUAUAAUGGGUCAGCGACUUAUAUUCUGUAGCAAGGUUAACCGUAUAGGGGAGCCGCAGGGAAACCGAGUCUUAACUGGGCGUUAAGUUGCAGGGUAUAGACCCGAAACCCGGUGAUCUAGCCAUGGGCAGGUUGAAGGUUGGGUAACACUAACUGGAGGACCGAACCGACUAAUGUUGAAAAAUUAGCGGAUGACUUGUGGCUGGGGGUGAAAGGCCAAUCAAACCGGGAGAUAGCUGGUUCUCCCCGAAAGCUAUUUAGGUAGCGCCUCGUGAAUUCAUCUUCGGGGGUAGAGCACUGUUUCGGCUAGGGGGUCAUCCCGACUUACCAACCCGAUGCAAACUACGAAUACCGAAGAAUGUUAUCACGGGAGACACACGGCGGGUGCUAACGUCCGUCGUGAAGAGGGAAACAACCCAGACCGCCAGCUAAGGUCCCAAAGUCACAGUUAAGUGGGAAACGAUGUGGGAAGGCACAGACAGCCAGGAUGUUGGCUUAGAAGCAGCCAUCAUUUAAAGAAAGCGUAAUAGCUCACUGGUCGAGUCGGCCUGCGCGGAAGAUGUAACGGGGCUAAACUGUGCACCGAAGCUGCGGCAGCGACACUAUGUGUUGUUGGGUAGGGGAGCGUUCUGUAAGCCUGCGAAGGUGGCCUGUGAGGGUUGCUGGAGGUAUCAGAAGUGCGAAUGCUGACAUAAGUAACGAUAAUGCGGGUGAAAAGCCCGCACGCCGGAAGACCAAGGGUUCCUGUCCAACGUUAAUCGGGGCAGGGUGAGUCGACCCCUAAGGCGAGGCCGAAAGGCGUAGUCGAUGGGAAACAGGUUAAUAUUCCUGUACUUGGUGUUACUGCGAAGGGGGGACGGAGAAGGCUAUGUUAGCCGGGCGACGGUUGUCCCGGUUUAAGCAUGUAGGCGGAGGUUCCAGGUAAAUCCGGUACCUUUUAACGCUGAGGUGUGAUGACGAGGCACUACGGUGCUGAAGUAACAAAUGCCCUGCUUCCAGGAAAAGCCUCUAAGCAUCAGGUAACAUUAAAUCGUACCCCAAACCGACACAGGUGGUCAGGUAGAGAAUACCAAGGCGCUUGAGAGAACUCGGGUGAAGGAACUAGGCAAAAUGGUGCCGUAACUUCGGGAGAAGGCACGCUGAUAUGUAGGUGAAGCCCCUGCGGGUGGAGCUGAAAUCAGUCGAAGAUACCAGCUGGCUGCAACUGUUUAUUAAAAACACAGCACUGUGCAAACACGAAAGUGGACGUAUACGGUGUGACGCCUGCCCGGUGCCGGAAGGUUAAUUGAUGGGGUUAUCCGUAAGGAGAAGCUCUUGAUCGAAGCCCCGGUAAACGGCGGCCGUAACUAUAACGGUCCUAAGGUAGCGAAAUUCCUUGUCGGGUAAGUUCCGACCUGCACGAAUGGCGUAAUGAUGGCCAGGCUGUCUCCACCCGAGACUCAGUGAAAUUGAACUCGCUGUGAAGAUGCAGUGUACCCGCGGCAAGACGGAAAGACCCCGUGAACCUUUACUAUAGCUUGACACUGAACAUUGAGCCUUGAUGUGUAGGAUAGGUGGGAGGCUUUGAAGCGUGGACGCCAGUCUGCGUGGAGCCAACCUUGAAAUACCACCCUUUAAUGUUUGAUGUUCUAACGUUGGCCCCUUAUCGGGGUUGCGGACAGUGUCUGGUGGGUAGUUUGACUGGGGCGGUCUCCUCCCAAAGAGUAACGGAGGAGCACGAAGGUUAGCUAAUCCUGGUCGGACAUCAGGAGGUUAGUGCAAUGGCAUAAGCUAGCUUGACUGCGAGCGUGACGGCGCGAGCAGGUGCGAAAGCAGGUCAUAGUGAUCCGGUGGUUCUGAAUGGAAGGGCCAUCGCUCAACGGAUAAAAGGUACUCCGGGGAUAACAGGCUGAUACCGCCCAAGAGUUCAUAUCGACGGCGGUGUUUGGCACCUCGAUGUCGGCUCAUCACAUCCUGGGGCUGAAGUAGGUCCCAAGGGUAUGGCUGUUCGCCAUUUAAAGUGGUACGCGAGCUGGGUUUAGAACGUCGUGAGACAGUUCGGUCCCUAUCUGCCGUGGGCGCUGGAGAAUUGAGGGGGGCUGCUCCUAGUACGAGAGGACCGGAGUGGACGCAUCACUGGUGUUCGGGUUGUCAUGCCAAUGGCAUUGCCCGGUAGCUAAAUGCGGAAGAGAUAAGUGCUGAAAGCAUCUAAGCACGAAACUUGCCCCGAGAUGAGUUCUCCCUGAGACUUAAAGUCUCCUGAAGGAACGUUAAAGACGAUGACGUUGAUAGGUCGGGUGUGUAAGCGUAGCGAUACGUUGAGCUAACCGAUACUAAUGAACCGUGAGGCUUAACCUUACAACGCCGAAGGUGUUU